UACGUAUGGUGCAAGCGUUAUCCGGAAUGACUGGGUGUAAAGGGAGCGUAGACGGUUGUACAAGUCUGAUGUGAAAGCCCACGGCUCAACUGUGGGAGUGCAUUGGAAACUGGUAGACUUGAGUGCAGGAGAGGAGAGUGGAAUUCCAUGUGUAGCGGUGAAAUGCGUAGAUAUAUGGAAGAACACCAGUGGCGAAAGCGGCUCUCUGGUCUGUAACUGACGCUGAGGUUCGAAAGCGUGGGUAGCAAACAGG
rnacentral:rRNA from 1 species